GCGCACGCUGGCGGCAGGCCUAACACAUGCCAGUCGAACGAACUCUUCGGAGUUAGUGGCGGACGGGUGAGUAACACGUGGGAACGUGCCUUUUUGUUCGGAAUAACUCAGGGAAACUUGUGCUAAUACCGAAUGUGCCCUUCGGGGGAAAGAUUUAUCGCCAUUAGAGCGGCCCGCGUCUGAUUAGCUAGUUGGUGAGGUAACGGCUCACCAAGGCGACGAUCAGUAGCUGGUCUGAGAGGAUGACCAGCCACACUGGGACUGAGACACGGCCCAGACUCCUACGGGAGGCAGCAGUGGGGAAUCUUGCGCAAUGGGCGAAAGCCUGACGCAGCCAUGCCGCGUGAAUGAUGAAGGUCUUAGGAUUGUAAAAUUCUUUCACCGGGGACGAUAAUGACGGUACCCGGAGAAGAAGCCCCGGCUAACUUCGUG
rnacentral:rRNA from 1 species